rnacentral:rRNA from 1 species
AGCGAACGCUGGCGGCAGGCCUAACACAUGCAAGUCGAGCGCCCCGCAAGGGGAGCGGCAGACGGGAGAGUAACACGUGGGAACGUGCCCUUUGGUUCGGAACAACCCAGGGAAACUUGGGCUAAUACCGGAUAAGCCCUCACGGGGAAAGAUUUAUCGCCGAAGGAUCGGCCCGCGUCUGAUUAGCUAGUUGGUGGGGUAAUGGCCCACCAAGGCGACGAUCAGUAGCUGGUCUGAGAGGAUGAUCAGCCUCACUGGGACUGAGACACGGCCCAGACUCCUACGGGAGGCAGCAGUGGGGAAUAUUGGACAAUGGGCGCAAGCCUGAUCCAGCCAUGCCGCGUGGGUGAUGAAGGCCCUAGGGUUGUAAAGCCCUUUCGGCGGGGAAGAUAAUGACGGUACCCGCAGAAGAAGCCCCGGCUAACUUCGUGCCAGCCGCCGCAGAA